UACGUAGGGAGCGAGCGUUGUCCGGAUUUACUGGGUGUAAAGGGUGCGUAGGCGGGACUGCAAGUCAGGCGUGAAAUACCGGGGCUUAACUCCGGGGCUGCGCUUGAAACUGCGGUUCUUGAGUGAAGUAGAGGCAGGCGGAAUUCCUAGUGUAGCGGUGAAAUGCGUAGAUAUUAGGAGGAACACCAGUGGCGAAGGCGGCCUGCUGGGCUUUAACUGACGCUGAGGCACGAAAGCAUGGGGAGCAAACAGGAUUAGAUACCCUGGUAGUCCAUGCCGUAAACGAUGAUUGCUAGGUGUGGGGGGACUGACCCCUUCCGUGCCGGAGUUAACACAAUAAGCAAUCCACCUGGGGAGUACGACCGCAAGGUUGAAACUCAAAGGAAUUGACGGGGGCCCGCACAAGCAGUGGAGUAUGUGGUUUAAUUCGAAGCAACGCGAAGAACCUUACCAGGUCUUGACAUCCAACUAACGAAGCAGAGAUGCAUCAGGUGCCCUUCGGGGAAAGUUGAGACAGGUGGUGCAUGGUU
rnacentral:rRNA from 1 species